rnacentral:rRNA from 1 species
GACGAACGCUGGCGGCGUGCUUAACACAUGCAAGUCGAACGCUGAAGCUUGGUGCUUGCACUGGGUGGAUGAGUGGCGAACGGGUGAGUAAUACGUGAGUAACCUGCCCUUGACUCUGGGAUAAGCCUGGGAAACUGGGUCUAAUACUGGAUAUGACAUGCCACUGCAUGGUGGUGUGUGGAAAGGGUUUUACUGGUUUUGGAUGGGCUCACGGCCUAUCAGCUUGUUGGCGGGGUAAUGGCCUACCAAGGCGACGACGGGUAGCCGGCCUGAGAGGGUGGCCGGCCACACUGGGACUGAGACACGGCCCAGACUCCAACGGGAGGCAGCAGUGGGGAAUAUUGCACAAUGGGCGGAAGCCUGAUGCAGCGACGCCGCGUGAGGGAUGACGGCCUUCGGGUUGUAAACCUCUUUCAGCACGGAAGAAGCGAGAGUGACGGUACGUGCAGAAGAAGCGCCGGCUAACUACGUG